GCUUAGAGUGGGGGGGGGGGGAGUAGAACUUUCUUUCGGUAGCGGUGGGAUGCGCCGGGUUUAUGUGGGAAACCACCCGCGUAAGGGGGGGUUUUGUGGGGAACUGAUUCUGGGGCGCGGAAGGCAGGGGAGCCAAGAGGACUAGAUACCCCUGCAGUGUGGGCCGCAAACGAUGGAUAUUAGCUGUAGGAGGGUUGGACCCCUUCUGUUCAGGAGGGGACGUCAAUAAGUAUCGUCCUCGGGGGAGGAGGGUCGCGAAGGAAGCAAGUCAAAGCAAACUGACUGGGGCCUGGCUCAACGCGGUGGGAGUAUGUGGUUUAAUUUGAUGCUACGCGAAGAACCCUACCAAGCCUUGACAUCGAUUGUUAUGGGUUGAGAUACCCAGUUCCUCUUCGGAGGACAAGGAAACACGUGGUGCAGCGGCGGUAGUCAGCUCGUGUCGUGAAGAGAUGGGUUAAGUCCCGCAGCGAGCGCAACCCCCAUCUUCUGUUACCAGCGGCUCGGCGCGGGACUCAUGAGAGAAUGCCGCAGACAAUACGGAGGAAGGCGGGGAUGAUGUCAAGUCAUCAUUCCCCUUAUGGCCUGGGGUACACAACUAAUACAAUGGCUCUUGUUAGAGGGAAGGGAAGGAGCGAUCCGGAGCAAACCCCCAAAACAGAGUCUCAGUUCGGAUUGCAGGCUGCAACUCGCCUGCAUGAAGCAGGAAUCGCUAGUAAUCGCAGGUCAGCAUACUGCGGUGAAUACGUUCCCGGGCCUUGUACACACCGCCCGUCA
rnacentral:rRNA from 1 species